UACGUAGGGUGCGAGCGUUAAUCGGAAUUACUGGGCGUAAAGCGUGUGCAGGCGGUUUGUUAAGACAGGUGUGAAAUCCCCGGGCUUAACCUGGGAAUUGCGCUUGUUACUGGCAAGCUAGAGUGCGUCAGAGGGAGGGUGGAAUUCCACGUGUAGCAGUGAAAUGCGUAGAGAUGUGGAGGAACACCGAUGGCGAAGGCAGCCUCCUGGGAUGACACUGACGCUCAUACACGAAAGCGUGGGGAGCAAACAGG
rnacentral:rRNA from 1 species